CCAUGGAGGAUUGGGGUUUGAUCCCGGAGAGGGAGCCUGAGAAAUGGCUACCACUUCUAAGGAAGGCAGCAGGCGCGCAAAUUACCCAAUGUCAAAUUGAUGAGGUAGUGACGAUCAAUAACGACGUGGACUUUCUAUUGAAGGUCCACGAUCGGAAUGAGCUCUCCUUAGAUUAUUGAGCGAGUAACAAUCGGAGGAAAAGUCUGGUGCCAGCACCCGCGGUAAUUCCAGCUCCGAUAGCAUAUAUUAAAGUUGUUGCAGUUAAAAAGCUCGUAGUUGAUUUUGAGUGCAAUGGUUAUAAUCUUUAAAAACAGCUCUUAAUUUAUAAAUAAUAAGAUUAGCAAUAAUGUUAUUAUUUAUGGUUUCGAUGUCUUUUUUGUUGGUUAUAAUCAAUAAACGGUUCCAUAAAAUCGGUACGUUACCGCGAGUAAUGUUAUCGAGGCCGAGCACAAGAUUAAUAAUUAUUGGUUCUUUAUUCAUUCGUGUUUAAUUAAUUGAUAAUUAUUAAUCUAAACCUGGAGUAAAUUAGGGUGUUUAAAGCAGGUUGUUCGUAUGAACGCCUUGAAUAGUUGAGCGUGGAAUUUUAAAUUACCUUAAUUUGGAUCCCAAUACCUAAAACUGGUUUUAUAAUAGCAAUAUUAUGAAGGUCUUUAGAGGGUAUUAAAUAUAAUUCUCGGAUUAUAUUUUUUCUUUAAUUGUUCUUUCGGGUUCAGUUAAAGGAAGGGAAUUUAUUGAUGAGGGUGGUCGGUGGUGUUAGUAUUUAGUUGUCAGAGGUGAAAUUCUUGGACCAACUAAAGACUAUCUUCAGCGAAAGCAUUCACCAAGUACACUCUUUUUCAAUCAAGAACAAAAGUUAGGGGAUCGAAGAUGAUCAGAUACCGUCGUAGUCCUAACCGCAAACGUUGCCGACCAGGGAUUAGUAGACGUCACAUUGAUGGCUUUACUAGAACCCUUAGGGAAACCCUGAGUUUUUGGGUUCCGGGGGGAGUAUGGUCGCAAGGCUGAAACUUAAAGGAACUGACGGAAGGGCACCACCAGGAGUGGGGUUUGCGGCUUAAUUCGACCCAACACGGGAAACCUUACCAGGUCCAGACUCUGUAAGGAUUGACAGAUUAAUGGAACUUUCUUGAUCCUGAGGGUGGUGGUGCAUGGCCGUUCUUGGUUGGUGGAGCGAUUCGUCUGGUCAAUUCCGUUAACGAACGAGACCUCGACCCCUCAAAUAGUACUGUUUAUUCUUCCGCUAACAAAGUCAGGUUAGUUAUUCAAGGUUAAUAUAAUUGUUUGUUGGUUGGUUAUCUUCGAAAUAUAUUAUUAUCUCGGUAA
rnacentral:rRNA from 1 species